rnacentral:rRNA from 1 species
AGUGAACGCUGGCGGUAGGCCUAACACAUGCAAGUCGAACGGCAGCACAGUAAGAGCUUGCUCUUACGGGUGGCGAGUGGCGGACGGGUGAGGAAUACAUCGGAAUCUACUUUUUCGUGGGGGAUAACGUAGGGAAACUUACGCUACUACCGCAUACGACCUACGGGUGAAAGCAGGGGAUCUUCGGACCUUUCGCGAUUGAAUGAGCCGAUGUCGGAUUAGCUAGUUGGCGGGGUAAAGGCCCACCAAGGCGACGAUACGUAGCUGGUCUGAGAGGAUGAUCAGCCACACUGGAACUGAGACACGGUCCAGACUCCUACGGGAGGCAGCAGUGGGGAAUAUUGGACAAUGGGCGCAAGCCUGAUCCAGCCAUACCGCGUGGGUGAAGAAGGCCUUCGGGUUGUAAAGCCCUUUUGUUGGGAAAGAAAAGCAGCAGGUUAAUACCCCGCUGUUCUGACGGUACCCAAAGAAUAAGCACCGGCUAACUUCGUG